rnacentral:rRNA from 1 species
UACGGGGGGGGCACGCGUUGUUCGGAAUUCCUGGGCGUAAAGGGUUCGUAGGUGGCCAACUAAGUCAGACGUGAAAUCCCUCGGCUCAACCGGGGAACUGCGUCUGAUACUGGUUGGCUUGAGUGCAGGAGAGGAACGCGGAAUUCCAGGUGUAGCGGUGAAAUGCGUAGAUAUCUGGAGGAACACCGGUGGCGAAGGCGGCGUUCUGGACUGCAACUGACACUGAGGAACGAAAGCCAGGGGAGCAAACGGG